AACGAACGCUGGCGGCAUGCCUAACACAUGCAAGUCGAACGAGAUCUUCGGGUCUAGUGGCGCACGGGUGCGUAACGCGUGGGAAUCUGCCCUUUGGUUCGGAAUAACAGUUGGAAACGACUGCUAAUACCGGAUGAUGACGAAAGUCCAAAGAUUUAUCGCCAGAGGAUGAGCCCGCGUAGGAUUAGCUAGUUGGUGUGGUAAAGGCGCACCAAGGCGACGAUCCUUAGCUGGUCUGAGAGGAUGAUCAGCCACACUGGGACUGAGACACGGCCCAGACUCCUACGGGAGGCAGCAGUGGGGAAUAUUGGACAAUGGGCGAAAGCCUGAUCCAGCAAUGCCGCGUGAGUGAUGAAGGCCUUAGGGUUGUAAAGCUCUUUUACCCGGGAUGAUAGUGACAGUACCGGGAGAAUAAGCUCCGGCUAACUCUGUGCCAGCAGCCGCCGUAA
rnacentral:rRNA from 1 species